GGAUAACGUAGCGAAAGUUACGCUAAUACCGCAUACGAUCUAAGGAUGAAAGUGGGGGAUCGCAAGACCUCAUGCUCCUGGAGCGGCCGAUAUCUGAUUAGCUAGUUGGUGGGGUAAAGGCCUACCAAGGCAUCGAUCAGUAGCUGGUCUGAGAGGACGACCAGCCACACUGGAACUGAGACACGGUCCAGACUCCUACGGGAGGCAGCAGUGGGGAAUUUUGGACAAUGGGCGAAAGCCUGAUCCAGCAAUGCCGCGUGAGUGAAGAAGGCCUUCGGGUUGUAAAGCUCUUUUGUCAGGGAAGAAACGGUGAGAGCUAAUAUCUCUUGCUAAUGACGGUACCUGAAGAAUAAGCACCGGCUAACUACGUGCCAGCAGCCGCGGUAAUACGUAGGGUGCAAGCGUUAAUCGGAAUUACUGGGCGUAAAGCGUGCGCAGGCGGUUUUGUAAGUCUGUCGUGAAAUCCCCCGGGCUCAACCUGGGAAUUGCGAUGGAGACUGCAAGGCUAGAAUCUGGC
rnacentral:rRNA from 1 species